rnacentral:sRNA from 1 species
UGUAUUACAUUCGAGGGUGGUGCAGUAUUCUAGUCAGUCUACCAUCUCUGAAGGCGGGCCUAAAAAUUCGCUAAAGGGCACAUCGAUGAAGUUCCUGGUGUUGGCUUCUGACGCCCAGUCGGGGGCUGAUGCUGGGAGUUAAGGUUGUGGGGCGAUCCACAAUGGCAUGUGGGCGUUGACCCCGCUUCCGCGGAGGCCCAAGUGCGUGGCUUUUGCGCCACCGUGCGCUCGGCUACGGCUUGGGGUAUGAACCUGCAUUGCGAGUCUCACCUGCCCAUUAUUCGUACUUAGCGAAGAGCUGGAGUCUAAAACGACUUGUUUGCAGCGUAGCCUGCCUUGAGUGAGCCAGAGGGGAUUAUAGAUGGUAGGAGCUCGUUUCUUAGGCCAAAGAGACGUUCGCCGGAUGCUAUUUGAAAUCUGUUUUGCAAAAGAGGCUAAGGGAUGAGUUUCAGGGCUGCAGAGGAAAUCUCCUAGACUGUUUGCCGCAAGGCAAGGCUUCCUGGGGAUUAUAGUGUGGACUGAGUGGUAAUCCAGUCUGACGUUGGGUGACUGCGUCAAGCGGAGCAUAAAGGGAAACCGCCUGUUCGGCGACGAAGGGGUGUCUCUGUUGGGAAAACCUACUGGACCUAAGCCACAGCGUUUACUCAGGAAGCCACCACUCGAUUUUGUAUUUUA